rnacentral:rRNA from 1 species
AUUGAACGCUGGCGGCAGGCCUAACACAUGCAAGUCGAGCGAGCGGAGGAGGGGUGAGUACUGUAUGGGGACUGCCCGUUAGAGGGGGAUAACUACUGGAAAAGGUAGCGAAUACCGCAUACUAUCGGAUACCCCUGAUGGGAUUAGCUAGUAGGUGAGGUAAUGGCUCACCGAGGCGACGAUCCCUAGAUGGUCUGAGAGGAUGAUCAGCCACACUGGGACUGAGACACGGCCCAGACUCCUACGGAGGCAGCAGUGGGGAAUAUUGCACAAUGGGCGCAAGCCUGAUACAGCAAUGCCGCGUGUAUGAAGAAGGCCCUAGGGUUGUAAAGUACUUUCAGUCGGGAGGCGUUACCGACAGAAGAAGCACCGGCUAACUCCGUGCCAGCAGCCGCGGUAAUAC